AACGCUGGCGGCAGGCCUAACACAUGCAAGUCGAGCGGUAGCACAGGGAGCUUGCUCCUGGGUGACGAGCGGCGGACGGGUGAGUAAUGUCUGGGAAACUGCCUGAUGGAGGGGGAUAACUACUGGAAACGGUAGCUAAUACCGCAUAACGUCUUCGGACCAAAGUGGGGGGCCUUCGGGCCUCAUGCCAUCAGAUGUGACCAGAUGGGAUUAGCUAGUAGGUGGGGUAAUGGCUCACCUAGGCGACGAGCCCUAGCUGGUCUGAGAGGAUGCCCAGCCACACUGGACCUGAGACACGGCCCAGACUCCUACGGGAGGCAGCAGUGGGGAAUAUUGCACAAUGGGCGCAAGCCUGAUGCAGCCAUGCCGCGUGUGUGAAGAAGGCCUUCGGGUUGUAAAG
rnacentral:rRNA from 2 species